rnacentral:lncRNA from 1 species
UGCAUAGUGUGGCUAGGGCAUCCAAAAAGGCUCAAGGAACCACUGAUUUCAUCGAUGGUGUUGAAUAUUGUACUGUCGUCGCCGUGGUUUAGCCAGAAAUCGUGAAACGUGGUCCGAUUAGUUUACGUGUUCAAGGUACCGCGGCAAUUACUUUUAGUGUGUUACGAAUAAGUGUGUACCAGAGCCAAGGAUCAUUCACGUUACUUCUCACUCUUUUCUGUUAUGCCUCCCCACUCUCCCAUGUUGAUUCAAGGGGUCUGCGCUCAGAACUUCUUUGUGUUUGCGGAUUUGUACCAGAACAAAAACGAACCAACUGUUUUCCUUUCUCUUUUUUCGGUUGUCAGUGAUAUGAUCGAGUUUUUUUACUUUUUUGUCGGCCGUUCUCAGACAGUUUUAUCCCAUGACGUGGAGAAUGCAUGACACCACCUUUGCGGUACUGGCGUUUUGUCGCAGGCGCCCCUUGGAAUUUUUGCGUCUCUCGUGUGUAAAAGAUUCUCCUCGAGUUAUCACGAAACCAGAAUUGUUUAACAGAUCAUUUUAGGCGAUGUUCUCCGGGGCGUCGAUUUCAGGGCGAAGAGCAGGGCAACGUCAAGAAACCACUCUUUCCUCUUCUCUGGGAACAGAGUUCAGAUUGCUUGCACCGGCUGUGCUCAUUUACCAAAUACACAAUUCUAGACAGGCUAAAAGGGAAACGAACAGAAACAGGUAGUUGUCUUUGCUGCCGAUUUUACAGGCGUCAACAAAACGAGUUGAGUUCGAAGGUUUGCCUUGCUCGCGAGAAGCCGGCAACGUUUGAGAUGGGGGCGUUUCUUGCUCGUGGGUUCCUUUCUCUGAUAUAUAUGCAUGUAUUCUCUCUUGAACGCUGUCGACGCGUGAAGCGGCAGCGUCCGUGAAGGGACUGCGUUUCCGCCAGUGUUUCUUUAAUGAAUACAAAGCUCAUGAAACAAGUUUCUGAGGGGCUUUUUAUCAUCA